AAGUAAGCUUGCACAGAAGGAACCCAUUUCAUUUAUGGAUGUCACUCAUCAAAGCAGACACCCUCAAAGAGCUUUAUGCAAGACAUGUCAGUGAGGACCCAAGUUGCAGAUGUUCUCACUGAGUGCUGGGGGAGAAGACUGGCUUGAUGAAUCUAAGGCACACUCUGCAAUAGUGACUCACAAUGGGCUCCUGAUGGGAUCAUCUGAGAAGCCUUUGAGCCCUACCCCAACCCAAGUGAAUCUGAAAGGCUGGGAGUGGCGGCGGCGGGGGCAGGCACCGUACUUUCUUUAAGCCACUCCAGUGAUUCUUCUACUGUGCAGCUGAGGCUGCAUGCCCAGCUUUCUGGACCUCAGACACCUGAAGACUGAAUUUGCGGUUGCUCCCUUCUCUUCCUGGUUCCUCAUGGGGACUGCCACACUUUUCUCCCUCACUUCCUCCUUUGAUUUAGAACUUCACCUAUUACCACAUCCACAUGAUAAUGAUAUAAUCUGAGGCAACAACAUUCAGGUUGCAAUAUCAUGGAGAGAACGAUCUCCCUUUGCAAAAAGAAAAAUACACACGUGUUUUUGAGAAAAGCAGGGGGAAAAAAUUAAGCUUCAGGAUUUUCGUUGGGUGCUUCCACCACCAAGCAAUAUGUGAAGGGCUGUGAGGAAGACCCAGGGAAAGGUACUCACAGGAGCUUCAUCUCCAG